rnacentral:rRNA from 1 species
AUUGAACGCUGUCGGCAUGCUUUACACAUGCAAGUCGGACGAGUGGCGAACGGGUGAGUAACGCAUCGGAAUGUACCGAGUAAAGGGGGAUAACUGUCCGAAAGGACAGCUAAUACCGCAUAUUAUUCGAGCGGCCGAUGUUUGAUUAGCUGGUUGGCGGGGUAAAGGCCCACCAAGGCGACGAUCAGUAGCGGGUCUGAGAGGAUGAUCAGCCACACCGGGACUGAGACACGGCCCAGACUCCUACGGGAGGCAGCAGUGGGGAAUUUUGGGCAAUGGGCGCAAGCCGGAUCCAGCCAUGCCGCGUGUCUGAAGAAGGCCUUCGGGUUGUAAAGGACUUUUGUCAGGGAAGCGGUACCUAAAGAAUAAGCACCGGCUAACUACGUGCCAGCAGCCGCGGUAAUAC